CGCCACACUGUUUUCCACAAUGGUUGAACUAAUUUACACUCCCACCAACCAUGUAAAAGCGUUCCUAUUUCUCCACAUCCUCUCCAGCAUCUGUUGUUUCCUGACUUUUCAAUGAUCGCCAUUCUAACUGGCGUGAGAUGGUAUCUCAUUGUGGUUUUGAUUUGCAUUUCUCUGAUCACCAGUGAUGAUGAGCAUUUUUUCAUGUGUCUGUUGGCUACAUAAAUGUCUUCUUCUGAGAAGAUCCAGUUUCAGCUUUCUACACAUGGCUAGCCAGUUUUCCCAGCAGCAUUUAUUAAAUAGGGAAUCCUUUCCCCAUUGCUUGUUUUUGUCAGGCUUAUCAAAGAUCAGAUGGUUGUAGAUGCAUGGUGUUGUUUCUGAGGCCUCUGUCCUCUUCCAUUGGUCUACAUAUCUAUUUUGGUACCAGUACCAGGCUGUUUUGGUUACUAUAGCCUUGUAGUAUAGUUUGAAGUCAGGUAGCAUGCCUCCCGCUUUGUUCUUUUUGCUUAGGAUUAUCUUGGCUAUGUGGGCUCUUUU
rnacentral:lncRNA from 1 species